AUUGAACGCUGGCGGCAGGCCUAACACAUGCAAGUCGAACGGUAACAGGAAGAAGCUUGCUUCUUUGCUGACGAGAGGCGGACGGGUGAGUAAUGUCUGGGAAACUGCCUGAUGGAGGGGGAUAACUACUGGAAACGGUAGUUAAUACCGCAUAACGUCGCAAGACCAAAGAGGGGGACCUUCGGGCCUCUUGCCAUCGGAUGUGCCCAGAUGGGAUUAGCUAGUAGGUGGGGUAACGGCUCACCUAGGCGACGAUCCCUAGCUGGUCUGAGAGGAUGACCAGCCACACUGGAACUGAGACACGGUCCAGACUCCUACGGGAGGCAGCAGUGGGGAAUAUUGCACAAUGGGCGCAAGCCUGAUGCAGCCAUGCCGCGUGUAUGAAGAAGGCCUUCGGGUUGUAAAGUACUUUCAGCGGGGAGGAAGGGAGUAAAGUUAAUACCUUUGCUCAUUGACGUUACCCGCAGAAGAAGCACCGGCUAACUCCGUG
rnacentral:rRNA from 1 species